CCCUUAGAUGUUCUGGGCCGCACGCGCGCUACACUGACGAAUUCAACGAGUUUAUAACCUUUGCUGGGAGGCAUGGGUAAUCUUGUGAACGUUCGUCGUGAUGGGGAUAGAUUAUUGCAAUUGUUAAUCUUCAACGAGGAAUUCCUAGUAAACGCAAGUCAUCAGCUUGCAUUGAUUACGUCCCUGCCCUUUGUACACACCGCCCGUCGCACCUACCGAUUGAAUGGUCCGGUGAAUUCUUCGGACUGCGGCUUUGACUCGAUUUCGGUUGAGGCGUUGCUGCGGGAAGUUGAUUAAACCUUACCAUUUAGAGGAAGGUGAAGUCGUAACA
rnacentral:rRNA from 1 species